rnacentral:sRNA from 1 species
AAACACCUUCUCCCACUGUGGCUCCUGAGAGUAACUGGGUAACUCGAGCAGGGGUGGGGCAAGUAGGAGAACCCAGACUCGGGUAGGAGGGGCUUUAAGACAAGCUUUUCUGUUCUUUCCUCCAACGCAGGGCCCCUGGCUGGGGCUUUGAGCAGCACUUACCCAUUCCCUUCUCCCUCUUCCUGGUUAGCCUGGUCCUGGCUUGAGCUGCCCUCAAGCCACGCAGCCAGGACAUACCUGGCUCUGGAAUGGGUCCAGCCAUGCCUUCAGCUUGCCAUGAACUCCUUCCUAUCUGGGUCACCCCUUAGUUGGGGGGAAAUGUCAAAGAUUCCCUAUUAGUCCAAACCUUAAUCUCAGUGGCUUCUUCCAGACAAAGUGUGAGGCUCCUGAGACACCCAGUGAGAAGCAGCUCAUCCUGAACCUCACAGGAAACACCCUCUGUGCAGAGGGCCCUCCGGAUGAGAAACUGGUCACGCUGAUAUGCCAAGCAGUCAAAGCCACCUUCAACCCGGCCCAAGACGAGUGCAGCAUACGGCUGGCACGUGUUCCAGGAAGUCAGGCCGUGGUCGUCAAAGAAAUCACUAUUCACACUAAGCUCCCUGCCAAGGAUGUGUACGAGCGGCUGAAGGACAAAUGGGAUGAACUAAAGGAGGCAGGGGUCAGUGACAUGCAGCUAGGGGACCAGGGGCCACCGGAGGAGGCCGAGGACCGCUUCAGUAUGCCCCUCAUCAUCACCAUCGUCUGCAUGGCAUCAUUCCUGCUCCUCGUGGCGGCCCUCUAUGGCUGCUGCCACCAGCGC